rnacentral:lncRNA from 1 species
AUGAAUCAAAAAAGUUAAUCCUAAUUGAUCUUCAUAACUUUCUGAAAUCUUGAAAUUCUUUGGACUUUGUAAACAACAAUCCUCCCUAUUCUUUUCUAGUAAAAGACCCCCACAUCAAGAUUGAAUCCCCUUUGCACAUGUAGAGCGGAUUGGUUCUCUCCCGGAUCAUUUUAGUGUAAAAUCAACUUUAAUUCACCCUCAGUAGUGAACAUACUUCUUUGUUGUUGUACUCCUCCGGACUAAAGUAUCAGCUCUUCUUUGAAUCUCUUCUCUUAGCUUAGCUCUCGUCAACCCCCCGAUCAAUUGGGCUUGAAUCAACCCUGCGCCUUGAAUGUCCUCAUCAGAGUCGAUAGGAACAUCGCAGCAUCAAAUGAGCUACCACCAUUUCAUGGAAAGAAAUUAUCCUUACCUUUACAUUGAAUUUUAUAUGAAGGUGGAUCUUGUAUUUGAUUGCAUGACUAUUCAGAAGAAAAGCAAGUGAAUUGGCAACGGUAGAACUUUACUGAUUAAGGCUAUUGUAUGGUGGGAUCAGUUGAUCAUGACCGGAGAAAGAAUUAUAAAAACCUAUUGACACUUGGUAGGAUAUGAAGGCCUGUACAUGAGGAGGCGAUUGUUUCCUUCCACUGUAUAAUGGAUUUUGCGAUUUAAAAUUGCCAAGCCUACAAUAGGGACAAGUAGCGUUGGAAGAUCACCAUAAGAGGAUGGAGAGAGCUUCUUUUUGAUUCGCCUAACAGGAUGAAGAUAAGAAGCACUAUAGUUCAAUUUGUGUGGUUUUGACCCAAGAAAAUUGCUAAUGUGGUGGCAUUACAACAUUAUGUGGAAUUGGAAGACAUGGUAGCAUGGCCUGAAUUUGGAACGGCAACUUCAAGAGAGGAAGGAUAUCCCAACAAGAUAGCAAUUCCUAUAUUUCGGUUCUCCUUCAAUUGAAGUAAGUGGGUGUAUCAUCAACCAGCGAGAAGACCUUUUCCAAUUAAAGACGAGAAGGGCUGAGCAAGAACCAAGGGAUAGCAAAGGAUAGAGGUAAUCUUCAUCUAACCUAGAAAUAGAGACUUAAAUGCUUUUGAUGUUAGGGUCUGGUUUAUAGCUCUCAAUGCCCAAUAAAGGGCCAAUGAUAUGCUAAUCUGGAGAAAUUGGAAACAGAAAGAUGAAGAAGUGAAUCCAUGCUGCCAAUUGAAGACACUAUGAUUAUAAUAUGCUGCGAAGUAAUGACUAGUAAUCCUGAGAGCACUCAAUGUAAAAUACAAGAAGAAGAAAGUGAUGAACGUGCAAAGAAAAAAUAUUUUCCAUACGAGAAUUCAUGGUGAAGGAUCGGGUUUGUAGCUUAUUAUUGAUGGGGGCAGUUGCACAGAAUGUGGAUAUACGAAGUUUUACUCGUUGAUAAGUUAUUUUUGCAUACUUGAAGCAUCUAAGCCCUCUCUCCAGUGGGGUGAAUGAAGUGGAGAAUGAGGAACAACAAGUCCUUGUGUCAAUUGCUAGUGGGAGGUACAAGGAUGAGAUCAUUUGUGAUGUAGUACCUAUGACAUGCCAGUCAUGUGCUUGCUGGGAGGCCGUGGCACUUGAUAGGCGAGCUAUAUAUGAUGGGUAUAGGAACCGAUAUACCAAGUCAAGUGUAUGAGGACCAACUUUGGAUCAAGAGAUCCAUUGGGGAGAAUAGUGAAAAAAGAAAUAGUGAGGAUGAGAGAAAAGAAAGAGAAAGAAAAGAGAAAAGAUAGAGUGAAGAUGAGAGAAAAGAAAGUGGAGUGAAAAUAGAAAAAGAAGAUCCAGAGAGUGAAAGUAAAUAGAGAAAAAAAAAUGAGUUUCCAUGCAAAAGAAAGAGAGAUCAAGAGUGCUUUCAAAGCUAGCCAGCUAAUGAUUUUGUUCGUAUACAAAGAGAAAUAUUUUCGCUUUGACCGAUUCGUCGUUGCUAGUGGGCUAUUUCUCUCUGACAGGAAUUUAGAGAAGUUUCCCUGAGGAGAUUACCUAGGGUUUUCCGCCAAUAAGGGGAAUAGAGCAUUCUUAAAUUUGCUUUAUGCCUGGAGCUUCAAUCCAAAACGACCAGCUUAUAGGAGUAGUCCGGGGAGACUAGGAAACUUCAAAGCAAGUGGAGGAGUUGUUGGCCAAGAGGCAUGUAUGAGAAAGUAUGAGUCCAUGUGUUGUUCCAGUGUUGUUGGUACCAAAAAAGGAUGAGACUUGGCACAUGUGCGUUGAUUGUCGCGCCGUCAACAGAAUAAUGGUAAAGUAUUGACAUCCUAUUCCUCAUUUGGAUGAUAAGUUAGAUGAAUUACAUGGCUCUAUUUUGUUCUAAAAAAUAGCUUUAAAAAGUGGUUAUCAUCAAAUUAGAAUGAAAGAGGGAGAUGAAUGGAAAACUGCUUUCAAAACAAAACAUGCACUUGAUAGUUUUUUAGUUUGCUUGGCAUGAAUGGGUUGACUUGAAAUACUUGCAUUGUAUUGUGUUCAGAAGCUAUUGUUAAACUAUUAUGGAUACAUUGCAUGAUGUUGAUGUUGAUGUUUGUGAGUAUCA